rnacentral:misc_RNA from 1 species
GCAAACUUGGUCAUUUAGAGGAAGUAAAAGUCGUAACAAGGUUUCCGUAGGUGAACCUGCGGAAGGAUCAUUAACAACAUUAAGGAGGUUUAGGUGCAAUCUGGGUUAGAGCUCGGAAAGGUCCUAUACUGACUUUACCCCUUAAACCGUGCUAAUAACCGCGUGUUUUGGCGAGUAUGAGCGGCAACUGUCGAUAAUGUGCUUUUAUUGCCGAGCAGUUUGGUAGCAUUUGUGCAUGGCAAGUUUGACGAGGCAGCUCGCCAGAGGUUUUAAUGCCGUUUUUUUGUUUGUCUGAAUUUACAAGAAUAAAAAGAAAACUAUGAACAACGGAUCUCUAGGCUCUUGCAUCGAUGAAGAACGCAGC